AUGCGUCCCAUUAGCUUGUUGGUAAGGUAACGGCUUACCAAGGCUACGAUGGGUAGGGGUCCUGAGAGGGAGAUCCCCCACACUGGUACUGAGACACGGACCAGACUCCUACGGGAGGCAGCAGUGAGGAAUAUUGGACAAUGGGCGCAAGCCUGAUCCAGCCAUGCCGCGUGCAGGAUGA
rnacentral:rRNA from 1 species